rnacentral:ncRNA from 1 species
AAAGGUUUGGUCCUAGCCUUGGGAUCAAUUGUUACUUAAUAUACACAUGCAAGUCUCCGCACCCCUGUGAAAACGCCCUUAUUUUCCUCUCAGGAACAAGGAGCUGGUAUCAGGCACAACCUUCAGCCCAAGACACCUAGCUAUGCCACACCCACAAGGGAAUUCAGCAGUGAUUAACAUUGAGAAUAAGCGAAAGCUUGACUCAGUUAAAGUAAAGAGAACCGGCAAAUCCGGUGCCAGCCGCCGCGGUUACACCACGAGGUUCAAAUUGAUCCUUUUCGGCGUAAAGCGUGAUUAAAGUUUUCAACCAACUAUAGUUCUAUUAAAACUAAGCUGUGACACGCUUGUGCUUAAGAAAUCCAUAAACGAAAGUUACUAUAUCUUCAUCAACUUGAAACCACGACAGCUGGGGCACAAACUGGGAUUAGAUACCCCACUAUGCCCAGCCGUAAACUUUAAAUUACAUUCAUAUCGCCAGGGAACUACGAGCAAAGCUUAAAACCCAAAGGACUUGACGGUACCCCACAUCCACCUAGAGGAGCCUGUCCUAUAAUCGAUAACCCCCGCUUAACCUCACCAUUUUUAGCUUAUCAGCCUGUAUACCUCCGUCGUCAGCUUACCUCGUGAGUGACCCUUAGUGAGCUUAAUGUCCAUACGCCAAUACGUCAGGUCAAGGUGCAGUAAAUAAAAUGGGAAGAGAUGGGCUACACUCUCUAAUAUAGAAUAUACGAAAGACUACAUAUGAAAUCUAGUCGGAAGGCGGAUUUAGAAGUAAAAAGAGACCAUAAAGCUCUUUUUAACACGGCACUGGGGUGUGUACACACCGCCCGUCACCCUCUUCAAAGCCUAAAAGCAGUAAAUAACACAUUACGGCAAAUCAGAAGAGGCAAGUCGUAACAUGGUAAGUAUACCGGAAGUGUGCUUGGAAACAAAAU